AUCAACCCAAUUUUAACAGUCACGUGACCGACGCCAUCGCCUUGAAAGAACUGCCACACAAAAGAAAUCAGCAUGGAUAUGUCAUCUAAUGAGCAUGACAAUUACGAACAAAAUAGUCCAAAUGAUAGAUAUGGCGGAAAUACGGAACGGUCACCAGAAAGAUCAAGGUCACGUUCACCAAUUAGACGCUCAGGGUCAAGGUCACCAAGAAGAGACAGCAGGGACAGACCUAGACGCAUUAAUCUCAUUUCCAAGCGAUGUAUCAUCAGCAAUGUUCCGUAUGAAAUGAAAUGGCAAGACAUCAAAGACAUCUUCAGAAAAGAAGUUGGAGAAGUGUCCUAUGUUGAAAUGUGGGAGAACCCCGAUGGAAAGUCAAGAGGAGCAGGUAUCAUCGAGUUCAAGGACAAAGACACAGCCAGGAAAGCCAUAGAAGUAAUGCACCGGUACAAGAUGAAGGACAGAAACAUAGUUGUACGAGAGGAGCGAGAGAGCGACCAGAACCAGAUUGGAGCAGCUAGAGGAGGUGGCGGUGGAGGAGGAGGAGGGGGGUCAGGCAUGAUGGGAAGUGGCCCUGGAAUGAUGGGAAGCAUGGGUGGAGGCAUGAUGGGAAAUAUGAGUGGCGGAGGAAACAUGGGUGUAAGCCAGCAAGUUCUCAACAACUUGGGCAUCGAAGGACCUGUCACCAACACUCUGUUUGUGUCCAAUCUGGACUACAAGGUUACCUGGAAAAAGAUGAAGGAUGUGUUCAAGCUGGCAGGAAAUGUGCUAAGGGCAGAGAUCAAACUGGAUAAGGAUGGGAAGAGUCGUGGGAUAGGGACUGUGGUGUUUGAGUUCCCAAUGGAGGCUCUCCAGGCUAUUUCUAUGUUUAACAACCAGACAUUAUUUGACCGACCAAUGAGGGUGAAGAUGGAUACUCCACCAGGUGGUGCUACAGGAGGCAGAUCAUCACAGGCUCAACUUCCAAGUGGACUGAAGUCAGUUGGAAUGGGCCUUGGGGCAGGAGGACAGCCACUACAGAAUAUUGGUCAGAUAAACUCUGGAGGUGGUUAUGGAAUGGGCAGUGGUGGAUCCAUGGGGAUGGGAGGCAAUAAUAUGGGGAUGGGAGGUGGUAAUAUGGGAAUGGGUGGUGGCGGUGGUAUGGGAAUGGGAGGGGGUAUGGACAACAGUAUGGUCGGCAUGGGAGGCAACAUGGGCACUGGAAUGUCUGGGAUGGGCGGCAUGGGCUCCAACAUGGGUAUGUCAGGAAACAUGGGAACAGGCAUGAGCAGCAACAUGGGAAUGGGAAUGGGAACAGGCAUGGCUGGCACUGGUAACCUCGGCUCCAAUAUGGGGAUGUCUGGUGGCAUGAACGACAGCUUCUCCAGCAGCAUGGUGUCAGGGGGAAUGGGCAACACCGGUUACGGCACCAACACUGGUAUGGGUACAGGUCUGGGAGAUCAGCUCCGCAGCAUGGGCAGCAAUAUGGGCAGCAGCAGUUACAACACUGGCAUGAUGGACUCUAUGGGCAGUUCCUCUGGCAAUAUGGGAAGCAGUAGUUACAAUUCUAUGGGUAGCUCCUUCAGCUCCUCUGACCGGUCCAGCCAGCGUGACCGUGACCGCAGUGGUGACAGAGGUGAUCGUGGGGGAAGAAACCUUGGCACUCGGCCAGACAACUGUACAGUCGUCGUGAAAAAUCUUCCUUGGUCACUGACAUGGCAGUCCCUUAGAGACAAAUUUAGGACAUGUGCUGAUGUGAAGUAUGCAGAAAUAAAGAUGGAAAAUGGUAAAUCUCAAGGAUGGGGACUCGUUCGAUUUGGUUCUGCUGAAGAUGCUCAGAGAGCAAUAUCUGCUAUGAACAGGACACGAGUGGACGGACGGGAAAUAGAUGUGAAGCUCUACCGCUAAAUGACGGAAUAAACAAGACUGGAGUCUAGUAAUAGUGUUCCAGAGUGACGACAGAGACAUGUCCAGGUCAAAAGAAGAAUGUCUGUAUUGAGGAUAUCAACACUAAUACAUGGUGUUAUCUCAAGUGACAGCUGGACAUCAAAUCCGGUACAAUAAAUACACGUCCGCAUAGUCACAUGGUAUUCUGAAUUCCAAUGAUGAAUAACUUGAAAUUGUUGGACCAGUGAAGAAAACUGAUGAAUCAGUGUAGACCAAUACAAGCAUGUCUUGUAUACAGGACCGUCGUAGACAACCUGAGUUGGACUCCUGAACAAUUUGACUUUUCCUCUGGCAAAAGACCUGACUAUUAGUAAUUAUAUUGGCAGGAUUUCUUGUGUUAAAGUAGGAAGUGAAGGCACCGAUUACCUUUGGAGACAGACAUGCUGACUACAGCAUCAAGAUAUCAGGACGCAUGAUUAUAAUUGACUUUCAGCGAGUCUCACAUUUGCUGAUUCUCCAGGCGGGUCAUGCAAAUAAGUUUUUGAAUGGAUUUAAUAAGACCUCAUUAAAUACUGAAAUGAUGACUCACAGAAAAUAA